GGAAGCUGUGGUGGCGUAUCUGUCAUGAACUGCACACAAGGGAAUGCUUAAACACCAGCUGAGUCAUAUCAGGUGCCUUGUACACACACAUAAAGAGUCUGGUGAAUUCUGACAGUGUUAUGUUUGCCACUAGAGCAAAUGUAAUAGCUGGGGUUUCACAGCAACUCUUUUAGAAAACUAUAUGUGCCAAAAAUUUACAUUGGGCAGCAGUUUAUAGUGUUCUUGGCCAAUCUGCAUAAAAGCCACUUGAGGAGGUUUGAUUAAGAAAAUUCUGUUUAUCUCCUGUAUUACCUCUGUGUUUGAUUUAUUCUUUAGUCUCAAAUUUAUUUUCUGAGUGGACUGAUUUUCUAUAUGAACUGAAAUGAUGUUUUAAUAGAAUAAUAGGUAUUUUUAGAGGAAAAGUAUUUUUUUUGUGUAAUUCGCUUACACAACUAGGACAUACUUCCUAUGAUACUGAAUCAUCAAAUUGAGUCAUUUAAAGCUGAAAGAGGUGUUAGGAAUGUAGUUUCACAUUAUUUAAAUACAUGAACAGUUUUCUAUAUAUUUUGUGAAAAUCUUGAUGAGACACUAGAAUUUCUUUAUGGAAUUGAACUUUACAAGAAUUUUAAUAAAAGAGGUGGAUUUCUUCAGCUUUCUUUGUGCUUCAGUUUCAUAGCUGAAAAUGCUGCUUCCGUUUGUUAAUAUGGACUUUGUAAGGAAACACAACAACACGUUUUCUUACCUUCUGUAAAUUUUGUGAUAGACACAUGUUAUUUGUAUAUAUGAUUGAUUGUUUGCCUGUUGCACCCUAAAGUUAUUUUCAAACCAUGUUUAUUGCAAAGAGAGCCUUUGGGCAAGUGGAAAAUGCCCUGAUGCUAGAAUGAGGUAGUUCCAUAAGCUAGUUAGGAGCUUGCUACCUCUUCUUGGUACCUGAAAUAUUCUGAAAGGAGAUCGGAGAGGUCCUAUGCACCCCUGUCUUUCAAAACCCACCUCCAGCACUUCAAAGUAGUGUCUCUGGAGAGUUUAAAAUAAAAGAAUGAAUGCUAUUCAGUGGAUUCCCUCAUUGAGGCUCCCAUCUUUCCUGCCAGGUGCAGCUUUUUCUGGUUGGAAUCAUCUCUUCUUUACGGAUUGCCGCAUUGUCUCUUUGUGAAUGAGGCAGGCUGAACUGUAGAGCGUGAAACUCAUUAGAAGUUUAUAAAGUAAAGACCUGUAAAGCAUGUGGGUGGAAUGUUUCCAUGCUCUUGAGGUGAAUAUUAAAUUUAAAUUCUGGCCUUUGGGAACUCUUUGCUUGUGAGCUGAAGAAGGAAAGAAGGAGUUGGGGGUGUAUAUCUAACUGUGUUUUUCUAUAUGGAAAUAUAUGAGCAUCAAGUGAUAACUUCAAUAAGGCCUCAGGAUUGUAUUUAAAAUACCUGUUUUGUGGGACAGCAUGCCUUUGUUUUCUUUGCCUGUUGGCUUUGGUGGCUCCAAACAUUUUCAUUUUAGGCUAGCUUUCCUGUCACCCAGGUUGUGUGCAUUUUUUUUUCAUUUGAACUAUUGUUUAUCAUUAUUAAUGAUGUUAUCUCCAAAUCCCAAAGCCAAGGAAAUAGCCAGUAUGCAGGACUUGCAGUAGAUAUAAGCAUUGGUGUUAACAUAGGUUAAGUUUUGAUAGUGUUCCCAGAAAUAUACUGAAUUGAGGCAUAAUGUAGCUUUAAAGAAAUUAUGUUUCUUUUUAACAUUUGGAGAAGCCACCUGUCCUGGGUCCCUAUUCUUGAGAAAUUCAUCUUUUCAUGCAAAUAACAUUGAUGGGGGACAAGACUGGAUGAUUGACUUCUAUCAGUCAGUAGACAAGGAAGUAUAAUAAUUGCCAAAGGUGAGGGUAAUUUUGCCUUACAAGUAUGUAGGUCAUUCUGUGGUGGGAUUUCCCAUCACAUCUAGUAAAAAACAACCUUUUCAUUUCCCUCCUUUCUAAUCCAAGAUCAUAUUUUUAAAAAGUAGGUUUCUGAUGUGCCAUGAAAUAUUUCUGUGAAUCUGUGUUUUUGACCAAGGAAACAGCUGAGAUAUUAAACCAUGUGGUUGUUCCACGGUUCAUCUGGCUACCGUUCUGGGUCCCCUCUGACCACCUCAAAAAGAAAAUGAAAUUGGGAGAUUAAAUCAAGCUUGACCUCCUCUUUUAAUGAGGAACUUUCACGUUGACUUCCUAUCUCAGGAUAUUCUUCAGUUUCAUACUGCUGAGGAGAAAGGAACAAGCUGCAGACACUGUAACUGGUCUCCAGAUGUGUGUAUAUGCGUGUAAAACUUCACACCGUGUGUGUUGUGUUCAAUGUUGUGUCAAUCUACAAACUGACUCAAACAAAAGUUUAACGAUAGAGAAGACAGUGAUAAUGGCAAAAAAAAAACACCCAACCACCUUUUUCCGUCAAAGUGCUUGCUAUGGCUUUCAUAGCUGGGACAAGUAACAUUAAGUAUUCAGGAGCAAAGUGUUCUUGAAAGAAAAUGGUGUGUUGAUCUCAUAAGAAAAUGUACAACCAAUAAAAGACAUUUUAAAAAG
rnacentral:lncRNA from 1 species